rnacentral:rRNA from 1 species
UACGAAGGGUGCAAGCGUUAAUCGGAAUUACUGGGCGUAAAGGGUGCUUAGGCGGUUCGUUAAGUCUGUUGUGAAAUCCCCGGGCUCAACCUGGGAAUGGCAAUGGAUACUGGCGAGCUAGAGUGUGAUAGAGGAUGGUGGAAUUCCCGGUGUAGCGGUGAAAUGCGUAGAGAUCGGGAGGAACAUCAGUGGCGAAGGCGGCCAUCUGGAUCAACACUGACGCUGAAGCACGAAAGCGUGGGGAGCAAACAGG